GCAGUCGCCGCGGUAAUACGGAGGGAGCUAGCGUUAUUCGGAAUUACUGGGCGUAAAGCGCACGUAGGCGGCUUUGUAAGUUAGAGGUGAAAGCCUGGAGCUCAACUCCGGAAUUGCCUUUAAGACUGCAUCGCUUGAAUCCAGGAGAGGUGAGUGGAAUUCCGAGUGUAGAGGUGAAAUUCGUAGAUAUUCGGAAGAACACCAGUGGCGAAGGCGGCUCACUGGACUGGUAUUGACGCUGAGGUGCGAAAGCGUGGGGAGCAAACAGGAUUAGAUACCCCUGUAGUCCCUGUCUCUUAUAC
rnacentral:rRNA from 1 species